rnacentral:misc_RNA from 1 species
UGGGAAAAAAAAAAUAAAAUUCAGCAUAUUAAGUGGUAGUAAUUGUAAAAACAAAUAAUGAUAUAUCAAAGGAGUAGAAAAGUUAGAUGUCCAGAAAAUGACCAAGUACACAUUAUCACAGUGACCCCAUAAUUGCUCAGCCAUUAUUUAGUUACAUUCUUGAAAGCCAAUAGAUGAUUAAAAAAAAAUUAACUAAUGAAAGUUGAACAUAUUUAAAUAUCAUUGUGCAGUAAUUUACUAGUAUUUCAGAUGUAAUUCAAAAUUCAGUUAUAAUGUUAUUGAUGACGAUGAUAAACUGCUUGCUUAAUAGCAAUUCAAUUAAGUGAACGACAUGUAAUCCCAUCAAAAGGGGAAAAAUAGCUUGAG